rnacentral:rRNA from 1 species
GACAGAGGGAUGCAAGCGUUAUCCGGAAUGAUUGGGCGUAAAGGCGUCUGUAGGUGGCUUUUCAAGUCCGCCGUCAAAUCCCAGGGCUCAACCCUGGACAGGCGGUGGAAACUACCAAGCUGGAGUGACGGUAGGGGCAGAGGGAAUUUCCGGGUGGAGGCGGUGAAAGUGACAUUCGAGAUCGGAAAGGAACAACCAACGGCGAAAGCAGUCUGCUGGG